CCUACGGGAGGCUGCAGUGAGGAAUAUUGGUCAAUGGGCGCGAGCCUGAUCCAGCCAAGUAGCGUGAAGGAUGACUGCCCUACGGGUUGUAAACUUCUUUUAUAAAGGAAUAAAGUGAGGCACGUGUGCCUUUUUGUAUGUACUUUAUGAAUAAGGAUCGGCUAACUCCGUGCCAGCAGCCGCGGUAAUACGGAGGAUCCGAGCGUUAUCCGGAUUUAUUGGGUUUAAAGGGAGCGUAGAUGGGUUGUUAAGUCAGUUGUGAAAGUUUGCGGCUCAACCGUAAAAUUGCAAUUGAUACUGGCAGUCUUGAGUACAGUUGAGGUAGGCGGAAUUCGUGGUGUAGCGGUGAAAUGCUUAGAUAUCACGAAGAACUCCGAUUGCGAAGGCAGCUUACUAAACUGCCACUGACAUUGAUGCUCGAAAGUGUGGGUAUCAAACAGGAUUAGAUACCCUUGUAGUC
rnacentral:rRNA from 1 species